GAUGAAGAACGUAGCGAGAUGCGAUAAGUAAUGUGAAUUGCAGAAUUCAGUGAAUCAUCGAAUCUUUGAACGCACAUUGCGCCCCUUGGUAUUCCGGGGGGCAUGCCUCUUCCAGCGUCAUUUCACCCCUCAAGCUCUGCUUGGUUUUGGGCCGCGCCGGCAACGGCGGGCCUCGAAAAUAGUGGCGACGCCAUCGUGCUCUCAGCGUAGUAAUUCUUCUCGCUGUUGGGUCCCGGUGGUCGUCCGCCAGCAACCCCCAACUUUCUUAAGUUUGACCUGGGAUGAGGUAGGGAUACCCGCUGAACUUAAGCAUAUCAAUAAGCGGAGGA
rnacentral:misc_RNA from 1 species